GCUUACAGGCCAUACCACCAUAGGCAAGCCCGAUCUCGUCUGAUCUCGGAAGCUAAGCAGGGUCGGGCCUGGUUAGUACUUGGAUGGGUGACCGUCUGGGAAUACCAGGUGCUGUAAGCA
ensembl:rRNA 5S_rRNA 5S ribosomal RNA